AGGGCUUAAAGAAAAAGGAAAAAAGAAAGGUUCAGAUAAAUGUCGGCUUGAUGACCAUUAAAAAGGGUGGUUUGAAGCCAUACCGUGGAAAAACUAUUUUCCUAACAACAGACCCUGACGCUACUGCCACAAGUCUGCUCAAUCAAGCUGUUAAAAAAAUGAAGGACUUUAACAAAGAUCUAAAAGAUGGACCUUUCCUUCUUCUGUAUCCGGAUGGCACUGAGGUCAUUACUGUCCCUGGAACACAAAGACCAUUUACACUUGAGGCUUAUAAGGCUGAAGUUGGCAAGCCUUAUCAAAGAAUCACUGUUUUCAUCUGCUUGAAGAGUGACUUUGAAGAUGUUGGAGAAAACUCAGACUUGUCUGACUCUGACCCAGAGAUUGUUAUUAAAAGGCCCUCUGAGUUUGAUCUUGCUGAUACACUGCCAUGGGAACUUCAACAUGAAAGCAGUCCUUUACAGAAAGCGGCAGAAUAUGAGAAGGGUGCUGGGGAUCUUGUGCUUGCUAAUGAAGUACAACAGAGACACCAAUUUGCAGGCACAUGGAAUUAUUGCAAAUUUGGCACUGGAACUUGACCACAAGAAGGUCAGCAGGUUCAAUAUAUCAAGGUCAGCUGUAUGGGAUGGAGCUGUUAGAGGAUUUCGACGCAGCACAUACUCUGACAACUACGACAUGUUCAUCAAGUUUAAUGAUGAUGCUGGCAGCUUUGAAGAAGGUUUGGAUACAGGUGGCCCGAGGCGUAAAUUCC
ensembl:lncRNA